rnacentral:lncRNA from 10 species
CUAGUACCUGGGAUUACAGUACAGCUAUGUACAGGUAUGUCUGGGGCACGAAGAAUGAAGUGAUUAUCUCUGCAGGUCCUCCUGUUUUCAAGGAGACUUUGAAUAAAGCAGAAAUAAUGAGCACCUGAACCAAGGCAUCAACACGGGGCUGGAGAGGACUAGAAGCACUAAUAAAGUCCAAUCCACAGCUGUUAUUAAAACUGUAAGCGGGAGGAUAGAGGUCCUAUUUCAUGACUGAGGAGCUUUGGUGGAUACUACAGCCACACAUUUGGAUGGAAGGUAGACGACCGGAUAAUUCUUGUGCUCUGAAUGGAAGCAGUUUAUUGAGCUUCCUCCCACCCCAGUACAAUAAAUGAAGAGACUCACAAGAUUAAGGAGUGAUAAGAGUACACCGCUUCAAAAAAAAACAAAUCCUGUGCAAGGGGAAUAGUGAGCAAAUGAGGUCUGAUCCUUUCAAAGGCGGGAGACAGGAAUUCUGUUUGCAUGUUACCAGAGAUGUCCAAAUGCCUGUCACUUUUUCCUUAAUGUGUUAUACAGUAGAUUGAAACCGACAGCAGACAAUCAAAAUCAAGGUCAAAUGAAAGGCCUAGACAUCCAACCCACUGUCAAUCUAGAAGUUGUGUAGAGAAGGAAGAGCUGAGGACACAAUUUCACACGGAUCAAAGACCACGGGGCCAAGGGUGCUGCAGCUCAUGCCUGCUAUUCCAGCAACAUGGGAGUCUGAGGCAG